AUGCCUGGAAUGAAUGUGAGGCUUCGUGACUCUUGUCGCUGUGUUUUGGCUGUUGCUUCCACUAAAGCUGCGUCUGUCCUCCUUCAGGCCAUGGAUUCCGACCCGUCCGCCAACCUCUCGUCCUUUGAUCCGCCGACCUCUCGUGACCUCUGCUCGUCCAACUCAUCCCUCUGUCCUUCCUUGGACAAAUGCUCCAGAUCCACCAUGGGGGUGUUCAUUCUCACCGCCUUCUCUUUCACCAACGUCCUGCUCAUGUUCCCCGUCUGCGUCGUCGUCCUCUUCCUGGGAUGUCGCCGCUGGAGGGACCUGCGUUGCACCGCUGCAGCAGCAGCCAUGAGUUCUUCAGACAUCUUCGCCUAUAACUUGGCUGCCAUGGUCAUGAUCGAAGCCUUGGGCUCGGUUCUUUAUUGUGUUGCUGCAUUCUCUAAGAUGCCCGACGUCCUCAUCUUCUUGUAUGACUUCUUCUGCACCCUGUGGUCUAUGAAGAUGCAGUUCCACGUGCUGACGUGUGUGGAGCGCUACCUGGCCGUCGUGCACCCGGUUUCCUACCUACGUCUCAAGAGCGACGCUGGUCACAGGAUCAGGAAGAUCAGCAUCGGGGGCGUCUGGCUGCAGUUAGUUGUGUUGUUAGGCUUGAUUCCUGUGACCUCGGCAGAAGUGAACCUGUCUGUGUUCUUCGGGUACUUGGUCGUGGCCCUUGUGGUCGUGUCCUUUUGCAGCGUCGCUGUUCUCUGUGCUCUCAGGCGCCCUGGACCGGGGGAGGCCGGCCGGAACCGGGAGCAGGGGGACCCGUCCAAGCAGAGGGCGUUCCUCACGCUCGCUGCUGUGCUGGGAACUCUGCUCUUCAGCUUAGGGGGGGUCCUGGUGUGCUCGGCCAUGAACGCGUCAUCGCUGCUGGACGUCAGAGACUCAUGUGUAGCUCUGAUGUCCUUCGUGUGGUUCUCGCUCCCAGGCAGCCUGGUGCUACCGCUGCUGUAUUUGCAGCGGUCGGGGAAACUGCCAAGUUGUACACAAACAGAAGAGUCAGGUCAAGGGUCAUAA
rnacentral:lncRNA from 1 species